rnacentral:rRNA from 1 species
CAGCACCUCAAGUGGUCAGGAUGAUUAUUGGGCCUAAAGCAUCCGUAGCCGGCUCUGUAAGUUUUCGGUUAAAUCUGUAUGCUCAACAUACAGGCUGCCGGGAAUACUGCAGAGCUAGGGAGUGGGAGAGGUAGACGGUACUCGGCAGGAAGGGGUAAAAUCCUUUGAUCUAUUGAUGACCACCUGUGGCGAAGGCGGUCUACCAGAACACGUCCGACGGUGAGGGAUGAAAGCUGGGGGAGCAAACCGGAUUAGAUACCCGAGUAGUCC